UUACUAUCCCAUAUGCUUGAUUCUUACAUGGUUUUGGAAGCUAAGCAGAGUUGGUCUUGGUUAGUACAUGGAGGGGACACCAGCAGCGAAUACCAGGAAGGCUAGGAAA
rnacentral:rRNA from 1 species